rnacentral:rRNA from 1 species
UACAGAGGUGGCAAGCGUUGUUCGGAAUUACUGGGCGUAAAGGGCGCGUAGGCGGUCUUGUAAGUCUUGUGUGAAAUCCCUCGGCUUAACUGAGGAACUGCACGGGAUACUGCGAGACUUGAGAUCGGGAGAGGGAAGCGGAAUUCCAGGUGUAGCGGUGAAAUGCGUAGAUAUCUGGAGGAACACCGGUGGCGAAGGCGGGUCUCUGGGCCGAUACUGACGCUGAGGAGCGAAAGCGUGGGGAGCGAACAGG